rnacentral:rRNA from 1 species
GUCUCAGUUCGGACUGAAGGCUGAAAUUCGCCUUCNCGAAGUCGGAAUUGCUAGUAAUGGCAGGUCAGCAUACUGCCGUGAAUACGUUCCCGGGCCCUUGUACACACCGCCCGUCACACCAUGAGAGUUGGGAAUACCCGAAGCCUGUGAGCUAACUUUUAGAGGCAGCAGUCGAAGGUAGAAUCAAUGAUUGGGGUGAAGUCGUAACAAGGUACC